rnacentral:rRNA from 1 species
AUGGCAGAAUGCUUCAAUAAGGUGCUCAAGGGUGUACGUGCAUUACCCGUGACGGCAAUAGUGCAAUACACAUUUGACAAGUUGAAUGAAUACUUUUUAAAGCACUCAAUGGAGACUGAUAAGCAGAUUGCUGGUGAGAACAAGGAUAAGCACAAGUACAAUUUCCCACCAAAGGUCGAAGAAUGGUUGGAAUUUCAAUCACGAAAGGCAGACUCCGAAGAAGCUGUACUAUAUGACGACAACGAGUGGAAGUAUGAGGUGAAAGAGCCCGGAGGAACCACAAACGAUGGCCGCCAACACGGAGGCCGGGCUUUCAAGGUCUCCCUAACACGGUGUGAUUGCAGCUGCAUGAGGCCGUCUUUGCUUCAUCUCCCAUGCUCGCACUUGUUAAAUGCAUCCCGGGUUAGGAAUGUGGACGUCAAUCACCCUCUUACCGUGAGGGAGUCCGAGUUCUCAAUCAUGACGGUAAAGAAUACAUGGACUCCACGGUUCCAGCCAUACUUGGACCAAUCACAAUGGCCGGAGUAUCAUGGAGUUCAACUAUGGCCGGACCCG